GACGAACGCUGGCGGCGUGCUUAACACAUGCAAGUCGAACGGAAAGGCCCUGCUUUUGUGGGGUGCUCGAGUGGCGAACGGGUGAGUAACACGUGAGUAACCUGCCCUUGACUUUGGGAUAACUUCAGGAAACUGGGGCUAAUCCCAUAUAGGAGCUCCUGCUGCAUGGUGGGGGUUGGAAAGUUUCGGCGGGUGGGGAUGGACUCGCGGCUUAUCAGCUUGCUGGUGGGGGAGGUGCUUACCAAGGCUGUGGCGGAUCGCCGGCCUGAGAGGGUGAACGGGCACAUUGGGCCUGGGAUACGGCCCAGACUCCUACGGGAGGCAACAGUGGGGAAUAUUACACAAUAGGCCGACGCCUGAUGGAGAAACCCUCCGUGCGGGAUGACGGCCUUUGGGUUGUAAACAGCUUUCGCCUAUGACGAAGCGUGUGUGACGGUAAUGGGUAAAGAAGCACCGGCUAACUACGUG
rnacentral:rRNA from 1 species